rnacentral:rRNA from 1 species
CCUACGGGUGGCAGCAGUGAGGAAUAUUGGUCAAUGGGCGGAAGCCUGAACCAGCCAAGUAGCGUGCGGGAUGAAUGCCCUACGGGUCGUAAACUGCUUUUGCACGGGGAUAACACCCUCCACUUGUGGAGGUCUGCAGGUACCUUGCGAAUAAGGGCCGGCUAAUUCCGUGCCCGCAGCCGCGGUAAUACGGAAGGCACGAGCGUUAUCCGGAUUCAUUGGGCUUAAAGGGAGCGUAGGCGGGCGUUCAAGUCAGCUGUAAAAUCUUGCGGCUCAACCGCGACCCGCAGUUGAUACUGGGCGCCUUGAGUACACAACAGGCAGGCGGAAUUCGUGGUGUAGCGGUGAAAUGCAUAGAUAGCACGAAGAACCCCGAUUGCGAAGGCAGCCUGCCAGGGUGCGACUGACGCUGAGGCUCGAAGGUGCGGGUAUCAAACAGGAUUAGAUACCCCGGUAGUC